rnacentral:rRNA from 1 species
UGGGGGAAUAUUGCACAAUGGGGGAAACCCUGAUGCAGCGACGCCGCGUGAGCGAAGAAGUAUUUUCGGUAUGUAAAGCUCUAUCAGCAGGGAAGAAAAUGACGGUACCUGACUAAGAAGCCCCGGCUAACUACGUGCCAGCAGCCGCGGUAAUACGUAGGGGGCAAGCGUUAUCCGGAUUUACUGGGUGUAAAGGGAGCGCAGGCGGUCCUGCAAGUCUGAUGUGAAAGCCCGGGGCUCAACCCCCGGGACUGCAUUGGAAACUGUGGGACUUGAGUGUCGGAGGGGCAAGUGGAAUUCCUAGUGUAGCGGUGAAAUGCGUAGAUAUUAGGAGGAACACCAGUGGCGAAGGCGGCUUGCUGGACGACAACUGACGC